rnacentral:tRNA from 1 species
CGGGCUGUGGCCUAGCUGGCUUAAGGCGCAUGUUUUGGGAACAUGAGAUCGUGGGUUCGAAUCCCACCAGCCCGA